rnacentral:rRNA from 1 species
GUGUCAGCAGCCGCGGUAAUACGAAGGUGGCAAGCGUUGUUCGGAUUCACUGGGCGUACAGGGUGUGUAGGCGGUUUGGUAAGCCUUCUGUUAAAGCUUCGGGCCCAACCCGGAAAGCGCAGAGGGUACUGCCAGGCUAGAGGGUGGGAGAGGAGCGCGGAAUUCCCGGUGUAGCGGUGAAAUGCGUAGAGAUCGGGAGGAAGGCCGGUGGCGAAGGCGGCGCUCUGGAACAUACCUGACGCUGAGACACGAAAGCGUGGGGAGCAAACAGGAUUAGAUACCCUAGUAGUCC